AGAGGCACAUGUCUGCUCGAGGAAUUUGCAUCCUUGGAUGUAAUAUUUGCGAAUGACGGCAGGAAGUUAACCUACUUCAAGGCGGGACGAGGGUCCAUUAGCGACCUAACCUUCAUGAGCGUCUCCCUCUGUAGGGGAUCUACGUGGAGAGUAAGCGAGGAGUUUACGUUAGCGACCACCAGGCGAUCUAUUUGGAAGGCGGAGAAAAAAUGAAAUGACGAGCCAAGACUACUGGACCUAAAUGGAAGGAUGACCACCUGGAUGUGGAAACCUUCAAGGAGUUCCUGCGCAACGCCAUCUGGAGCCCAGCGCGGGAAACGGCAAAGAGCCUGGCCCAGAAACUGGCAAAGCUCAUGGAGUUGGUGUGCGAUGUCGCCAUGCCAAGAAGGAAGCCAUGCAGAAAAGAAGCACCCUGCUACUGGUGGAAUACGGAGGUCAACCCGCUAAGGAAAACCUGCCUACGAGGAAGAAGAGAACGAGGUCGCCCUGAAUUCGACACCAGGGGGGAGGAACUUUAGCGAAAUGAGCACUUAAGCGUGCCAUAAAGGAUAGCAAGUCAGCCUGCUUUAGGCAGAUAUGCGAGGAGGCUGACGUCAACCCUUGGGGGACGGCAUAUAAGGUCGUCACCAAGAAGAUAAGGAGCCAGCCAAUGCCAGAAGUGACGUGCCCGGUCCUGCUUGGUAGCAUUGUGGAGGCCCUAUUCCCACAUCACCCAUAUCGGGAAGAGCUUCUCGCGCCAAGACCCCAAGCUGUGGCAACAGAUUUCCGUAGAGGUUGUGACAGCGGCCAUAAGGAGAAUUGGAGACAAAAGGGCACCAGGACCGGACGGGAUCCCAAAUAAGAUCUUAAAGCUUAGAGCAACCACCAGACCAGACGUGUUUGUUGACACGUUCAACAAAUGCCCACGGGAAGAAGUUUUUCUAGAGCAGUGGAAAGUGCAGCGGUUAAUCCUUCUGCCCAAAGGCAAUAAGCCCCCGGAGGAGCCACCGACCAAUAUGUUUGCUGGAUACUGUCAUCCUCGAGGACCACUCCACGUGCAAUGCCAGCAAUGAGCCACGGAGCACCACCACCGUCUGCUGGAGGAACUGCCUGAGGCAUACGGCAAGGCCUCCCCAGAUAAAUCUCAAGCUGAACAAGAUCUUCCACAAGCGGCUGGACGAGAGCGACGACCUUGAUUCUCAGAGCGGAGAUUCAAUGUGCCUACCACUCCAGCUGCGACUGAUCACUUUCCAAGAGUGGUCUUCCUACUGCAGUCAACAAACUCAUGGUCGGCACUUGAAGAAGAGGUAUUUGGAAAGGUCAUUUCCUGCGUCCAGUCGGUCAGGAGGAGCAACAGCAGACGCUGGACGAGGACCGAAAGCUGCGCAAGGACUGCACAAUUAUAAAGUUCGUACAUUCCAUUUCUUCCUUUGGCAUCUUGGAAAACGGCACAGGCUGUGGCACAUUCGCAAGGCAAUCCGGGAUCUUCUGCAGCUAAUUAAAAGCCAAUGGCAACAAGUUAUUAAUUGA